UUAGCUAGAGUAUGGGAGAGGAUGGUAGAAUUCCAGGUGUAGCGGUGAAAUGUAGUAGAGAUUCUGGAGGAAUACCGAUGGCAAGGCAGCCAUUGUGGCCUAAUACUACCGACUGAGGUGCGAAAGCAUGGGGAGCAAACAGGAUUAGAUACCCUGGUAGUCCAUGCAGAAAACGAGAUCUACUAGCCGUUGGGGGAUUUGAUCCUUUAGUGGCGCAGCUAACGCGAUAAGUAGACCGCCUGGGGAGUACGGUCGCAAGACUAAAACUCAAAUGAAUUGACGGGGGCCCGCACAAGCGGUGGAGCAUGUGGUUUAAUUCGAUGCAACGCGAAGAACCUUACCUGGCCUUGACAUAGUAGAGACUUUCCAGAGAUGGAAAGGUGCCUUCGGGAAUCUACAUACAGGUGCUGCAUGGCUGUCGUCAGCUCGUGUCGUGAGAUGUUGGGUUAAGUCCCGCAACGAGCGCAACCCUUUUCCUUACUUGCCAGCAUUUCGGAUGGGAACUUUAAGGAUACUGCCAGUGACAAACUGGAGGAAGGCGGGGACGACGUCAAGUCAUCAUGGCCCUUACGGCCAGGGCUACACACGUGCUACAAUGGUCGGUACAAAGGGUUGCUACCUAGCGAUGUGAUGCUAAUCUCAAAAAGCCGAUCGUAGUCCGGAUCGCAGUCUGCAACUCGACUGCGUGAAGUCGGAAUCGCUAGUAAUCGCGGAUCAGAAUGCCGCGGUGAAUACGUUCCCGGGCCUUGUACACACCGCCCGUCACAGCAUGGGAGUUUGUUGCACCAGAAGUAGGUAGUCUAACCGCAAGGAGGACGCUUACC
rnacentral:rRNA from 1 species